rnacentral:lncRNA from 1 species
UGCCAUUAUGCACAAAGUUCUGAGGCUCUGUCCCUUCCAAAUGUUUAUUUUUGAGGGUAGAUUGUGAAAGAUACUGAUUGCUAAUCAUUUGUUAAACCAUCAGUGAUGCUUUUUAAAACCCCUAGAGGAUAAGGAGAAAAUCAGCACCCUGCCCCCAUGGGGUAUCACCCAGAAUAGACUCCUGUAUACUUGCAGGACAAAUGAUGAAUCUGCUAAGUUGUGCGAACUUGAGAGAGGAAUGUAUCUGCAGCUUGACUUCAGCAAGAACUUUGUUCUGAUUCUAAGGGAUGGCUUUAAAGACUACAGAGAUACUCCCUGAGUUGGAGCAGUGGGGAGAGGGGGGACGCAUAGGCAGGGGGAGGCAUUCUAAGGAGACCCAGGGCUGGAGAUGGCCCUAGGUAUCUGUAAAGUAGAAAUAAUGGCAAUGACCUCCUCCUAGGACAGCACAGACGGUUAAAUGAGAUGAUAAUGAAAAGGACUUAACUGGGCCUGGUGUGUGUGAUUAAUGUCGCAGCUGGUACACAUCAAGUGUUAAUAAUAGGAACUGCAUGAUGAGAGAUCCACAGCAGUCUCAUCAUGUUUGUGGGAUGCAGCGGUUGCAGCAUGGCUUCUAUGAGAAUAGUGUUCAUCAAUUUUUCUCCCCCAGGAGAUGUGAGAUCCUGCUGGCCAGCCUCUGGCUUAGUCACUUUUGCUGUCCUUCUAGCAGCUCCUGAGUGAUUUGACAAGGCCAAGACUGUGGGAUGAUAAACAGAACUAGCACUUGGGUCUCAAAUGGAACCUGGGUUUGGAUUCUCUUUCUCCCACUUUAUGCCUGUGUGUGAUAGACAGGAAGGGGGACCACCCAGAUACCCUCAAAGAAAGACUGGUUGUCCAGCUGUCGGGGGUGUUGUUAACAACUCACUUUUAGCCCUUAGAUCCUUCCUGGCUGCCCAAGGUCAUACCUUUCCAAGAGUGGCCCAUAUCCAUGACUGAUCAAGGUGGGAUAUAAGCUCUCUCCGUUUUGGCCCAAUGCAAAAUGAUUCUGAUGGACCAUUUCAGCUCCAGAGCAUCCAUCUGAAGUUGUCAGGCCUGCUUCCCAACCCAUCUUCCUCUGCCACGUCCCACGUCCUUCCCUCUGCAUGGGCUUUGAUUCGAAGGACACACCCUAACGAACACCCAUCUCUGUUUCAGAAUGUGCUUCUUGGAGAAUCUAACUGCAAAACCACAUAAAUUUGGAUGAAUUUUUUGAUUUACUCAGUUUUCUUGGCUCUGAAAUGGCGUCAGUAACACCAGCCUCCCUAGAUAGUUGCUGGCCUUGGUGCUGAUUAGAUGAACGGGUGUUUAGGAAGAACCUGUUAUCAGGCUGGGCUUGUCCUUAGCCCUCAGUAAAUAGUAGACAGAAGCAGCAGCAGGAAUGUGUUGUGCUAAGUCUACAUGACUUUUACAGAAGCUAAGAUAAAUGGGAACAUUAAAAAUCCUUGAGGUUAUACAUUCAUAAUCAAAAUCCAAAUGACCUAUGGGUUCUGUAGGGCAAAAAUUGCCUCAUACAUAUGUAAAGAUGCUUAGAGCCCAAGCCUGGUCUGGUCAACCAUCCUGCAGUUUGUCCUGUGCAGACACAAUGCAGUGAGCUUCAUCCUGGUGAGGUUCUAGAAGCCCACACUCCACUGAUAAAUGGUGCUCAGUUCAGCUGAUGCCUGAGCACCUGUGCUUUUAUAAGGUAAUGAAACACCUGCUGAGACACAGCUCACUCCCUCUGAGGAGUGAGAGGGAGGCAUGUUGAGGUUCAUUUGGCAGCUGGACAUCUUGUACUCUUUCUCUGGAGUUGUCUUGUUCUCUGGAGGAGCCUACUUCUGUUCCGCAGCCAACCUGGGAGGUUGCUCACUUGGACCAGCCAACAGUACCUUGAUGGGUUGGAGCUGACCGUCCUGCAUCUCAGCUUUGUGGUCAUGGAGGCAUGUAUGCAUGAGGUUCCAUCUCUUUGCAUCACUCCUGCCACUGCCCACCUGCCCCCAGCUCAGAUAUUGUCUUGUUUUCCUAAUGCUGCUGAGGAAAAUUACCACAAACUUGGAUGGUUUAAAAAACAGCAUCCUCUAACUUCUGGAGUUUAUUAUUUCCCAGAAAUCCAAACUAAGAUGUGGCAGAGAUGGGUAGCCUGGAGGCUCUGGGGGAGGUUUUCAUGCCUCUGUCCUGGCUGCUGAGGGUCACCAGCAAUCCUUGGCAUUCCUUUGCUUUGGGGUUUCAAAACUCCAGUCUCCGCCUUCAUCUUCAUGUGGCUUUCACUUUGAGUCUCUGCAUCCUGUCUCCUUCUGUCUCUCUGGGAAACUGGCCAUUGUCUUUAGGGCCCAUCCUGAUGAUCUCAUAGCCACAUUUCUAUAACCCCCGGAGUUCCCGUCGUGGCGCAGUGGUUAACGAAUCCGACUAGGAACCAUGAGGUUGCGGGUUCGGUCCCUGCCCUUACUCAGUGGGUUAACGAUCCGGCGUAGCCAUGAGCUGUGGUGUAGGUUGCAGAUGCGGCUUGGAUCCAGCGUUGCUGUGGCUCUGGCGUAGGCCGGUGGCCACAGCUCCAAUUCGACCCCUAGCCUGGGAACCUCCAUAUGCCGCGCGGGAGCGGCCCAA